rnacentral:rRNA from 1 species
ACAAUUUGUUACCUCGGCGGGAUUCUCUUGCCCCGGGCUCGUCGCAAGCUCCGGAUCCCAUGGCACCGCCGGAGGACCAACUCCAAACUCUUUUUUCUCUCCGUCGCGGCUCCCGUCCGCGGGUCUGUUUUAUUUUUGCUCUGAGCCUUUCUCGGCGACCCUAGCGGGCGUCUCGAAAAUGAAUCAAAACUUUCAACAACGGAUCUCUUGGUUCUGGCAUCGAUGAAGAACGCAGCGAAAUGCGAUAAGUAAUGUGAAUUGCAGAAUUCAGUGAAUCAUUGAAUCUUUGAACGCACAUUGCGACCGCCAGUAUUCUGGCGGGCAUGCCUGUCCGAGCGUCAUUUCAACCCUCGAUCUCCUCCGGGGGGUCGGCGUUGGGGAUCGGCCCCUCUCCGGGCCGCCCCCGAAAUACAGUGGCGGUCUCGCCGCAGCCUCUCAUGCGCAGUAGUUUGCACACUCGCACCGGGAGCGCGGCGCGGCCACAGCCGUAAAACACCCCA